GGGCCUGUGAUCUAGUGGCUAUGAUGCUUCCUUCACAGGGAAGAUGUCCUCGGUUCGAAUCCGAGCAGGCCCA
rnacentral:tRNA from 1 species